rnacentral:rRNA from 1 species
GGACUACUGGGGUAUCUAAUCCCGUUUGCUCCCCUGGCUUUCGUGUCUCAGCGUCAGCUCAUCCCCAGCGACCUGUUUUCACCAUUGGCGUUCCAAACGAUAUCUACGCAUUUCACCGCUCCACCGUUUGUUCCAGUCGCCCCUAGAUGGCUCAAGACCGCCAGUAUGCCCAGCCGUUCCACAGUUAAGCCGUGGGAUUUCACAAGGCACUUAACGAUCCGCCUACACACGCUUUAAGCCCAGUGAUUCCGCCUAACGCUUGAGGCCUCUGUCUUACCGCGGCUGCUGGCAC